rnacentral:rRNA from 1 species
GUUCAAGCCGCCGCGGUAAUACGGGGGGAGCAAGCGUUGUUCGGAUUUACUGGGCGUAAAGGGCGCGUAGGCGGCCACCGCAAGUCGACUGUGAAAUCUCUGGGCUUAACCCAGAACGGUCAGCCGAUACUGCGGGGCUAGAGUGCAGAAGGGGCAACUGGAAUUCUCGGUGUAGCGGUGAAAUGCGUAGAUAUCGAGAGGAACACCUGCGGCGAAGGCGGGUUGCUGGGCUGACACUGACGCUGAGGCGCGAAAGCUAGGGGAGCGAACGGGAUUAGAAACCCUCGUAGUCC